GAGGCCUAGGUUUGCAGUCUGCAGAGCUAUCUACAGGGCUGGUCCGAGACCCCUGAAAAGAAACCGGAGAAGCCUGCUGACAAAAGACUGGAAUUCUGGGCUCAGCCGCCUCCAGGACCCAGGGGCCCAUUGGGCAAUCCAUCACGGAGCACACCUGGCCUGCCCAAAGGACACAGCAGAUUUUUUACUCCUGAGGGCCUCAUUGAGGGAUGCUUUCCUCCAGAGAUUUCUGUCUAGUUCUGCUGUGAAUCAGGUGCACGGAAGACUUGAAGACAUAGCCAUCACCUUUGAGCAUCUCAUAUCUGCAAGGACUGCCAGGCUCAACUCCUCCACCUUGCUCUUUGUCCCAGGCUCAGGAUCCUAAUUGCAAUGAAACGACACCGGCAAACAUCCUUCCUUUAUUUUCCUGAGUAAAAGAAGGCCUCGUGGUUUAACAAGCCAAAGGGAACACAUGCAAUGAAUGAAGUGGCAAAGUAAUGGCCUCCCCAUCCUUCCUCCUGCUCCUAGAGAGCAUCCCAGUGUCAGACAUGGUUAGCCUGGAGAUUUGGCUUUUUGCCUUUCACCUUUGGACAGGUCACUUCAUAACCUUGAGCCACAGCUACUCAUUUUAAAGGUGAGCCUCUGGUUUUGUAUUGCUGUGUAGCAAGCCACCUCAUACUUGGUGGUAUAAACCAUCAAUACUCAUUUAUUAUUGUAAUCUCUCCUGGUUCUGGGCUCAGCUGGGCAGUUCUUAGGCAGGACCUCUCAUGGGGUUGCAGUCAGAUGGUGGCUGGGCUGGAGUUACCUGGAGCUUCCACACUCAUGUAUCUGGUGCUGGCUGCUGGCUGUUGGUUGAGAUUUCAGAAGGGAUUGUCAGCAGGGACAUCUACUCGCAGCCUCCUCGUGUGCCCUGGGCUUCUUCACAGCGUGGUCACUGGGUCAUCUGUUGUUAAACACACUCACUGAGGCCCAUCCAGGCUCAAGGAGAGGACACACAGGCU